GAUACCUACGGGGCGCAGCAGUGGGGAAUAUUGCACAAUGGGCGAAAGCCUGAUGCAGCAACGCCGCGUGAAGGAAGAAGGCCUUCGGGUCGUAAACUUCUGUCCUUGGGGAAGAAGAACUGACGGUACCCAAGGAGGAAGCCCCGGCUAACUACGUGCCAGCAGCCGCGGUAAUACGUAGGGGGCAAGCGUUAUCCGGAAUUAUUGGGCGUAAAGAGAGCGUAGGCGGACUUUUAAGUGAGAUGUGAAAUACUCGGGCUCAACUUGAGUGCUGCAUUUCAAACUGGAAGUCUAGAGUGCAGGAG
rnacentral:rRNA from 1 species